CUACGGGGCGCUGCAGUGAGGAAUAUUGGUCAAUGGGCGAAAGCCUGAACCAGCCAUGUCGCGUGCAGGAUGACGGCCCUAUGGGUUGUAAACUGCUUUUUUACAGGAAUAAUUGCAGGUACGUGUACCUGUUUGAAUGUACUGUAUGAAUAAGGAUCGGCUAACUCCGUGCCAGCAGCCGCGGUAAUACGGAGGAUUCGAGCGUUAUCCGGAUUUAUUGGGUUUAAAGGGUCCGUAGGCGGUCUUUUAAGUCAGUGGUGAAAUCCCAGAGCUCAACUCUGGAACUGCCAUUGAAACUGAAGGACUUGAAUAUGGUUGAGGUAGGCGGAAUACGUUAUGUAGCGGUGAAAUGCAUAGAUAUAACGUAGAACACCAAUUGCGAAGGCAGCUUACUAAACCAUUAUUGACGCUGAUGGACGAAAGCGUGGGGAGCGAACAGGAUUAGAUACCCUCGUAGUC
rnacentral:rRNA from 1 species